rnacentral:rRNA from 1 species
CGAGGGUGCAAACGUUGCUCGGAUUUACUGGGCGUAAAGCGCGUGUAGGCGGACUCGCAAGUCGGUUGUGAAAUCCCUGGGCUCAACCUAGGAACUGCAUCCGAAACUGCUUGUCUUGAGUAAUGGAGAGGGUGGCGGAAUUCCCGGUGUAGAGGUGAAAUUCGUAGAUAUCGGGAGGAACAUCAGUGGCGAAGGCGGCCACCUGGACAUUUACUGACGCUGAGACGCGAAAGCGUGGGGAGCAAACAGGAUUAGAUACCCGUGUAGUCC